rnacentral:rRNA from 1 species
GAUGAACGCUGGCGGCGUGCUUAACACAUGCAAGUCGAACGAUGAAGCCCAGCUUGCUGGGUGGAUUAGUGGCGAACGGGUGAGUAACACGUGAGUAACCUGCCCUUAACUCUGGGAUAAGCCUGGGAAACUGGGUCUAAUACCGGAUAGGAGCGUCCACCGCAUGGUGGGUGUUGGAAAGAUUUAUCGGUUUUGGAUGGACUCGCGGCCUAUCAGCUUGUUGGUGAGGUAAUGGCUCACCAAGGCGACGACGGGUAGCCGGCCUGAGAGGGUGACCGGCCACACUGGGACUGAGACACGGCCCAGACUCCUACGGGAGGCAGCAGUGGGGAAGAUUGCACAAUGGGCGCAAGCCUGAUGCAGCGACGCCGCGUGAGGGAUGACGGCCUUCGGGUUGUAAACCUCUUUCAGUAGGGAAGAAGCGAAAGUGACGGUACCUGCAGAAGAAGCACCGGCUAACUACGUGC